CCAAUUCUUUCUGUUUGUACAAAAGCAAUCGUUCCUGAGCUUCCUGUCUUGACCGAAGAACUUCCUUCUGUAGGUCUAACUGUUCUUGGAGAGCCUUCAAAUUACCCAGCUGGGCUGUGAUAUUCUCUGAGGCACUGGUCUUGCCCUGGGGAUACAGCAAUGAAGAAAACCUAGUUCCUCUCUUCAAUGGAAUUGAAGGAUGUACAGGGUGGAUGGAGAAAGGGUCAAGAAGCAACUAAACCAAGGAAGUAAAUUUAUGGUCCAGGGGGUGCUGGUAAGAGCAACGGAAGGAGUGAAGAGAGAGACACAGCAAGAGAGGCAGAGGGAGAAGCAGGCUUCCCGCUGAGCAGGGAGCCAGAUGUGGGGCUCGAUCCCAGGAUCCCAGGACCACGACCCGAGCCAAAGGCAGAAGCUUAAAGACUGAGCCACCCAGGCG